rnacentral:misc_RNA from 1 species
CUCAUUCCCUAGCCUGGUCUUAACUGCCUAGACUGAACUGUGAAGAUGGUGAAAGUGGCAACGUAUUUUGCGAUGUCAUUUGGAGCCUUUCUAUUCUGGCAAUCAAUGGAUAGAGUCCACGUCUGGAUUGCUCUUCAUCAGGAUGAGAAGAAAGAAAGACUUGAAAAGGAGAUGGAGAUCAGGAGGGUCAGAGAAGAACUAUUGCAGCAAGCUAAACAGAAGGAUUCUUCAGCAUGAACUACUUAUUUGAUCAAAUUUAUAUUUCCCUUGUUUCCCUCAAGUGCGGGUCGCUCUUUGAGCUUCUGUUUACAAAGCACUGAAACUGAAAAUAAUUGAUUUGGC